AUCGAACGCUGGCGGCAGGCCUAACACAUGCAAGUAGAACGAGUGGCGGACGGGUGAGUAAUGUCUGGGAAACUGCCUGAUGGAGGGGUAUAACUACGGGAAACGGUAGCUAAUAACGCAUACAAUCAGAUGUGCCCAAAUGGGAUUAGCUUGUUGGUGGGGUAACGGUUCCCCAAGGCGCCGAUCCCUAGCUGGUCUGAGAGGAUGACCAGCCACACUGGAACUGCGACACGGUCCAGACUCCUACGGGAGGCAGGAGUGGGGAAUAUUGCACAAUGGGCGCAAGCCUGAUGCAGCCAUGCCGCGUGUAUGAAGAAGGCCUUCGGGUUGUAAAGUACUUUCGGCGGGGAGGCGUUACCCGCAGAAGAAGCACCGGCUAACUCCGUGCCAGCAGCCGCGGUAAUAC
rnacentral:rRNA from 1 species